rnacentral:rRNA from 1 species
CCUACGGGAGGCAGCAGUAAGGAAUAUUGGUCAAUGGAGGCAACUCUGAACCAGCCAUGCCGCGUGCAGGAUGACGGCCCUAUGGGUUGUAAACUGCUUUUAUACAAGAGAAAACCCUGGUACGUGUACCAGGUUGAUAGUAUUGUAAGAAUAAGCAUCGGCUAACUUCGUGCCAGCAGCCGCGGUAAGACGAAGGAUGCAAGCGUUAUCCGGAUUCAUUGGGUUUAAAGGGUGCGUAGGCGGACUGAUAAGUCAGUGGUGAAAUCUCUUUGCUUAACAAAGAAACUGCCAUUGAUACUGUCGGUCUAGAGUAUAGAUGACGUUGGCGGAAUAUGACAUGUAGUGGUGAAAUACUUAGAUAUGUCAUAGAACACCGAUUGCGAAGGCAGCUAACGAAACUAUAACUGACGCUGAGGCACGAAAGUGGNGGAGUACAACAGAUAGUAUACCUACGUAGUCGCGACCGUAACGAUAGAUUACCGUUCGUUGGUCGUAGUA